GACGAACGCUGGCGGCGUGCUUAACACAUGCAAGUCGAACGGAGCACCCUUGAAUGAGACUUCGGUCAAAGGAAAGGAAUGCUUAGUGGCGGACUGGUGAGUAACGCGUGAGGAACCUGCCUUUCAGAGGGGGACAACAGUUGGAAACGACUGCUAAUACCGCAUGACGCAUUCGGAUGGCAUCAUCUGAAUGCCAAAGAUUUAUCGCUGAAAGAUGGCCUCGCGUCUGAUUAGAUAGUUGGCGGGGUAACGGCCCACCAAGUCGACGAUCAGUAGCCGGACUGAGAGGUUGACCGGCCACAUUGGGACUGAGAUACGGCCCAGACUCCUACGGGAGGCAGCAGUGGGGAAUAUUGGGCAAUGGGCGCAAGCCUGACCCAGCAACGCCGCGUGAAGGAAGAAGGCUUUCGGGUUGUAAACUUCUUUUAAGAGGGAAGAGCAGAAGACGGUACCUCUUGAAUAAGCCACGGCUAACUACGUGCCAGCCGCCGCAGUAA
rnacentral:rRNA from 1 species